rnacentral:rRNA from 1 species
CCUACGGGAGGCAGCAGUGAGGAAUAUUGGUCAAUGGCCGGAAGGCUGAACCAGCCAAGCCGCGUGAAGGACGAAGGUGCCAAGCAUUGUAAACUUCUUUUGUCAGGGGACAAAAUCAGGCUCGAGAGCCUGACCGAGGGUACUUGAAGAAAAAGCAUCGGCUAACUCCGUGCCAGCAGCCGCGGUAAUACGGAGGAUGCGAGCGUUAUCCGGAUUUAUUGGGUUUAAGGGGUGCGUAGGCGGGCUGUUAAGUAAGUGGGAAAAGGCCGGGGCUAAACCCCGGCAGGCAGUUGAAACUGGCAGUCUGGAGAAGUGUAGAGGUAUGCGGAAUGCGCGGUGUAGCGGUGAAAUGCUUAGAUAUUGCGCAGAACUCCGAUUGCGAAGGCAGCAUACUGGAGGGGAUCUGACGCUGAGGCACGAAAGCGUGGGUAUCGAACAGGAUUAGAUACCCUUGUAGUC